rnacentral:lncRNA from 1 species
AGUUCCCUUCCCCGCACUGCGGGCCCUGGUCCCUGGUCCGGUGCGCGGACUUGCAGCAGGCUCGGCUCCCGUCCCCAGCUGUGCAGCCGGGCUGACGACCGACCCGGAGCCUCCCCUCUGAGACCCCCACCCAACCAGCGCACCCUCUGCCCCGUCCUUUCUCCCUGCAGUCCUUCGGGACGACCCCGCAGGGCCGGGUAAUGAGGCCCGCACACCCCUCCGCGCGACCUGUCCCCAAAGGGCUAUCAUCUGGGCAGGGCAGGGACUCCAGCCUGUGAUCCCUCCGCAUGGCCCAGGAUCGGGCCCACCUUGCCUGCGGGGGGCUCCAGGACAGAUGAGGGGAGGGCGCUGCCGGCGCACACCGGGGCCACAAGCUCCAGUCCCACCCCGCGGCCGCCAAGUCCCCCGAACCCGACCAGCCCGGACCCGGGACCUGUCGCGGGCCUCUUGGGAGGACCUCCUCCAGUUCUGGGCAGCGGGUAAGUCCCUCACUCCAGACUCGGGCCU